rnacentral:lncRNA from 1 species
AAUGAGGCCAUCAUAAGGACCUACACCAUGCAGGCAGUAGCUCACCUGUAAGAAAACAACAACAACAACAGAAAACAGAAAAUGAAAACCUUUCCAAACCAACUGAGGAUUAUGCACAUGGUAACUACAAGAGGUUAAAAACAAUCUCAUUCCUCCAGUCCGUUGGCUGAAUUAGCUUAUUUUACUGGGCUCCUUGGCUAUCGUUUCGUGGUUUUUCUGUGCAAAAAUACUCUUAGCAUCUGCAUUUAAAAAUCUACAGCAUCUCCUAUCAGUUACUCUGGAUGUAAUUUUAAUCCACACUGCCU